GCCGGGCGCGGUGGCACAUGCCUGUAGUCCCAGCUACUCGGGAGGCUGAGGUAGGAGGAUCACUUGAGCCCAGGAGUUCUGGGCUGUAGUGCACUAUGCUGAUCAGGUGUCUGCACUAAGUUAGGCAUCAAUAUGGUGACCUCCCGGGACCAGGGGACCACCAGGUUGCCUAAGGUGGGGUGAACCAGCCCAGAUCAGAAACGGAGCAGGUCAAAACUCCCGUGCUGAUCAGUCGUAGGAUUGCACCUGUGAAUAGCCACUGUACUCCAGCCUCGGCAACAUAGUGAGACCCCGUCUCCA
ensembl:misc_RNA Metazoa_SRP Metazoan signal recognition particle RNA